GGUCCGAGUGCGCGGAUCCUGCGCCGCGUGAUCUAGUCUAUCAUUGCACGUAAGACGGCGAGGAACGCAUUUCUGAAUUCGAGUUAUCUCGAAAAAAAAAAAUCGAUAGUUUUGUGUUUUUAUAUAUAAUAAUAACGAUUACAAUCAAAAAUAAAUUCUGAGCAUUAUAGCAAAAUUUCGUUCAAACGUUUGCAAAUUGUGAUAAUUCAAGCAUUCAGCGUGCUGUCUAUACCGAUUAAAAAAUGCCACAAGCGGCCCACGAGACGAAGAACAUAUUGAUGACGUACUUCAUUCUUAUUCUUCUAUUAAUUUCACUUUGGGUAUUAUACUCGGGGUUAUUCUUUUAAUCACAGCAGACAUUCCUCAUUAUGGGCUGAAAACAGAGAAGACAUGCGUGUCAAAAGGCGGAUGCAUUCGAAGGAUCCAAGAUGGACACUUCAUUCGGAAAGCUCACUGGUUCUCUCAUCUUAUUACUUAUUAUAUUUUUUCUUGAUGCCUGGAGAUACAUGUUUUACACAAAUCUCUUUCGAUCGUUUAGUGGCCGAUUUUUACGAUGAGAAUUAUUUAAAAAUAUUUGUAUAAUUAUUUAAGAAUUAUUUAAAAAUAUAUCAGAAAAUAGAAAGAUUUUAAAAGGCUUAUUCUUUUCUAUCAUCUUGUAUUUAUUUUUUGCUAUUCUAUCGUAGAAAUCGGCCAAAAUUAAAUACUUAUAUUAUAUAAAUUAUAUCUUCUAAGAGAUGAUUAGCAAUGAACAUUUUUUUAAAUCUAAACUUAAAACAAUUUAUUAUCUUAUUAGCAUUUCUAUAUAAAAUUUACAUUGUCAUUAAACUGUGUUCAUUUGAGGUCACCGAAAUAAAUAUAUCAGUCUCACAUGCGUUCAUAUAGGGUCCAUAUCGUUCAUUUUACUCGUUUGAUUACGAUAUCACAUUUCUUUAAAUUUGUUCGUAGUACAUCUUCAAUAUAUAUACCAUAUACAAUAUAUGAUACCAUAAAAUAAAUCUCUUCGUU